rnacentral:tmRNA from 1 species
GGGGCUGAUUCUGGAUUCGACGGGAUUUGCGAAACCCAAGGUGCAUGCCGAGGGGCGGUUGGCCUCGUAAAAAGCCGCAAAAAAAUAGUCGCAAACGACGAAAACUACGCUUUAGCAGCUUAAUAACCUGCUUAGAGCCCUCUCUCCCUAGCCUCCGCUCUUAGGACGGGGAUCAAGAGAGGUCAAACCCAAAAGAGAUCGCGCAGAUGCCCUGCCUGGGGUUGAAGCGUUAAAACGAAUCAGGCUAGUCUGGUAGUGGCGUGUCCGUCCGCAGGUGCCAGGCGAAUGUAAAGACUGACUAAGCAUGUAGUACCGAGGAUGUAGGAAUUUCGGACGCGGGUUCAACUCCCGCCAGCUCCACCA